rnacentral:lncRNA from 10 species
AGAAGCUUACCCUCAUCUCUGCCUUCAUCUUCGCCUGGCAUUUUCCCCAUGUGCGUGUCUAUCUACAAAUUCCCUCCUUAUAAGGACAUCAGUCAUAGUGAAUCAGGGAUCCAUGCUACUCCACAAUGACCUCAUCUUAAUACUAUAUCUGCAACAAGCCAUAUUUCCAAAUAAGACCACCUUCUGACAUGAGAGUUAGGACUUCAACAUGUAG